UACGUAGGGUGCAAGCGUUGUCCGGAAUUAUUGGGCGUAAAGAGCUCGUAGGCGGUUUGUCGCGUCUGCUGUGAAAACUCGGGGCUUAACUCCGGGCCUGCAGUGGGUACGGGCAGACUAGAGUGCGGUAGGGGAGACUGGAAUUCCUGGUGUAGCGGUGAAAUGCGCAGAUAUCAGGAGGAACACCGAUUGCGAAGGCAGCUCGCUGGGACGUGACUGACGCUGAGACGCGAAAGCGUGGGGAGCAAACAGG
rnacentral:rRNA from 1 species